UUAGACUUGAUCCAAAACUCUUUGCUCAAUCAAAUUGAGUCAAUUAGCAAUCUAAUUAUUAAUAAAUCCUCUAUAAACAGUAAAGUCUCAGUCCAGUAGGGCUCUCCUAUAGAGUCCCAGUCCAGUGGGACUCUUCAUCUGAGUUUCAAUCCAAUGGGACUCUUCAGCCAUCCGAUCAGACUGAAUCUUCUAAUAUAUGUGACCUCAUGGGUUCGAACCUA
rnacentral:lncRNA from 1 species